rfam:Schistosoma rodhaini strain Burundi genome assembly, scaffold: SROB_scaffold0007471
AGCUCUCAAUGUUUGUGCAGAUUUCGUCAGUCACCAGAUCAUCAGGACUGAUGAGACUCCCAAGAUAAGUGGAGCG